rnacentral:rRNA from 1 species
UUCGCCCUUAGAGUUUGAUCCUGGCUCAGGACGAACGCUGGCGGCGCGCCUAACACAUGCAAGUCGAACGAGCGAGAGAGAGCUUGCUUUCUUGAGCGAGUGGCGAACGGGUGAGUAACGCGUGAGUAACCUGCCCUGGAGUGGGGGACAACAGUUGGAAACGACUGCUAAUACCGCAUAAGCCCACGAUCCGGCAUCGGAUUGAGGGAAAAGGAUUUAUUCGCUUCAGGAUGGACUCGCGUCCAAUUAGCUAGUUGGUGAGGUAACGGCCCACCAAGGCGACGAUUGGUAGCCGGACUGAGAGGUUGAACGGCCACAUUGGGACUGAGACACGGCCCAGACUCCUACGGGAGGCAGCAGUGGAGGAUAUUGCACAAUGGGGGAAACCCUGAUGCAGCGACGCCGCGUGGAGGAAGAAGGUUUUCGGAUUGUAAACUCCUGUCGUUAGGGACGAUAAUGACGGUACCUAACAAGAAAGCACCGGCUAACUACGUGCCAGCAGCCGCGGUAAAACGUAGGGUGCAAGCGUUGUCCGGAAUUACUGGGUGUAAAGGGAGCGCAGGCGGACCGGCAAGUUGGAAGUGAAAACUAAGGGCUCAACCCAUAAAUUGCUUUCAAAACUGCUGGCCUUGAGUAGUGCAGAGGUAGGCGGAAUUCCCGGUGUAGCGGUGGAAUGCGUAGAUAUCGGGAGGAACACCAGUGGCGAAGGCGGCCUACUGGGCACCAACUGACGCUGAGGCUCGAAAGUGUGGGUAGCAAACAGGAUUAGAUACCCUGGUAGUCCACACUGUAAACGAUGAUUACUAGGUGUUGGAGGAUUGACCCCUUCAGUGCCGCAGUUAACACAAUAAGUAAUCCACCUGGGGAGUACGACCGCAAGGUUGAAACUCAAAGGAAUUGACGGGGGCCCGCACAAGCAGUGGAGUAUGUGGUUUAAUUCGACGCAACGCGAAGAACCUUACCAAGUCUUGACAUCCUGCGACGCACAUAGAAAUAUGUGUUUCCUUCGGGACGCAGAGACAGGUGGUGCAUGGUUGUCGUCAGCUCGUGUCGUGAGAUGUUGGGUUAAGUCCCGCAACGAGCGCAACCCUUAUGGUCAGUUACUACGCAAGAGGACUCUGGCCAGACUGCCGUUGACAAAACGGAGGAAGGUGGGGAUGACGUCAAAUCAUCAUGCCCUUUAUGGCUUGGGCUACACACGUACUACAAUGGCGUUAAACAAAGAGAAGCAAGACCGCGAGGUGGAGCAAAACUCAGAAACAACGUCCCAGUUCGGACUGCAGGCUGCAACUCGCCUGCACGAAGUCGGAAUUGCUAGUAAUCGCAGAUCAGCAUGCUGCGGUGAAUACGUUCCCGGGCCUUGCACACACCGCCCGUCA